rnacentral:rRNA from 1 species
UUGAAGAGUUUGAUCAUGGCUCAGAUUGAACGCUGGCGGCAGGCCUAACACAUGCAAGUCGAACGGUAACAGGAAGUGCUUGCACUUCGCUGACGAGUGGCGGACGGGUGAGUAAUGCUUGGGAACUUGCCUUUGCGAGGGGGAUAACAGUUGGAAACGACUGCUAAUACCGCAUAAUGUCUACGGACCAAACGGGGCUUAGGCUUCGGCGCAAAGAGAGGCCCAAGUGAGAUUAGCUAGUUGGUAAGGUAAAGGCUUACCAAGGCAACGAUCUCUAGCUGUUCUGAGAGGAAGAUCAGCCACACUGGAACUGAGACACGGUCCAGACUCCUACGGGAGGCAGCAGUGGGGAAUAUUGCACAAUGGGCGCAAGCCUGAUGCAGCCAUGCCGCGUGAAUGAUGAAGGCCUUAGGGUUGUAAAAUUCUUUCGCCAAGGAUGAUAAUGACAGUACUUGGUAAAGAAGCCCCGGCUAACUUCGUGCCAGCAGCCGCGGUAAUACGAAGGGGGC